UGAAUACGAGACGCUACGGCGUCGAAGCAGUCUAUGUCAUACUUCCAAGAAAAGCUCGCAAUGUCAUAAACAAAUAAUGCCUGUACCAUAACCGACACAGGUGGGUAGGUAGAGUAUACUAAGGGGCGCGAGAUAACUCUCUCUAAGGAACUCGGCAAAAUGACUCCGUAACUUCGGGAGAAGGAGUGCCUUAUUUAUAAGGUUGCAAUAACAAGAUCCAAGCAACUGUUUAUCAAAAACACAGGUCUCCGCUAAGUCGUAAGACAUGUAUGGGGGCUGACGCCUGCCCAGUGCCAGAAGGUUAAAGAAGUUGGUUAGCAUUCGCGAAGCUGAUAACUGAAGCCCUGGUGAACGGCGGCCGUAACUAUAACGGUCCUAAGGUAGCGAAAUUCCUUGUCGGGUAAGUUCCGACCCGCACGAAAGGCGUAAUGAUUUGGAUACUGUCUCGGAGAGGGGCUCGGUGAAAUAGACUUGUCUGUGAAGAUGCGGACUACCUGCACCUGGACAGAAAGACCCUAUGAAGCUUUACUGUAACUUGAAAUUGAAAUUGGACUUUAUUUGCGCAGCAUAGGUGGGAGGCGUUGAGAGUAUUCUUGCGGGAAUAUUGGAGCCAUCAGUGAGAUACCACUCUUGUAAUGUUAGAUUUCUAACUUUGGAUCAUUAUCUGGUCAAAGAACAGUUUCAGGCGGGCAGUUUGACUGGGGCGGUCGCCUCCCAAAUGGUAACGGAGGCGUACAAAGGUUUCCUCUGAACGGGUAGAAAUCGUAUCUAGAGUGUAAAGGCAUAAGGAAGCUUGGCUGUGAGACCUACAAGUCGAGCAGGGACGAAAGUCGGUCUUAGUGAUCUGACGGUGCUGAGUGGAAAGGCCGUCACUCAACGGAUAAAAGUUACUCUAAGGAUAACAGGCUGAUCUCCCCCAAGAGUUCACAUCGACGGGGAGGUUUGGCACCUCGAUGUCGGCUCAUCGCAUCCUGGGGCGGUAGUACGUCCCGAGGGUUGGGCUGUUCGCCCAUGAAAGCGGUACGCGAGCUGGGUUCAGAACGUCGUGAGACAGUUCGGUCCAUAUCCGGUGUAGGCGUUAGAAUAUUGAGAGGAGCCUUCUUUAGUACGAGAGGACCGAGAAGGACAUACCUCUGGUGUACCAGUUAUCGUGCCAACGGUAAACGCUGGGUAGCUAUGUAUGGAGAGGAUAACCGCUGAAAGCAUCUAAGUGGGAAGCCCACCUCAAGAUAAGUAUUCUC
rnacentral:rRNA from 1 species